UAACAAGUAAAGUAGGGCAGUGAGAGGAAGCAGAGGGGGACUGCAGGGACCGAGCCCCAGCAGGCUGAGGUUUUCCACCCACGAGGCCCCAGGAGAGCUGGAGAUCCAACCCUGUUCUCCCAGAGUUUGAGCUUGUCCCUGUCCCACCUGGAGAGCUGCACCCCACAUUCCACUGUGUCUGGAACAGGUAACUCCAAUCGCUGUCCUGAGGGUGAGGCUCUGAGCUGUGACAUUCCCAGAGAGCCCAGGGAGAAAUCAGGUGUUCUGCUCCUUCUGCAAGGGAAAAAGGAGACCUUGAACACCAGCAAGGGUGGGAACCCCCCUGUGGGAGCCACCCCAGCUGACCCAAACACGGCAUCAGAGAUGUCCCUAAAAUGGAUCCCUGGCCCUAAAAGCUUUGUUGGGGUGAAAGGCUGGCAAAGCCAAGGUGCAUUUCCCAGAUGGAAAAGCCUCAGGUCCCUGUGCCCUCAUUUUAUGGCCCUGGUUGCUGUGGAGGUGCUGGGAGUGUUGGCUGCUCCUCCCCUGCCUGCAGAUUGGAUAAAUGAAAUUCCAGUGGCUAUUUCACUCUGGUCUGCGAGACUUUAACUCCCAGGGAAGCAAAAUUCACACAGACCACAGAUGGAUGGGCUCCCCCACUCUUGCUCAGCUGUUGGAGAGAAGAGGAAUCAGGAAUGGAGGGUGAUGAUUAAUGGAUCUGUGUCCCAGUCUGUGUCCCAGCCUCAGCCUGGGUCCCUGCUGAUCCAUGCCCAGGCUCAGAGCAGACAGGGAGACACCAGAGAGGGACAAUCCUGGCUGCUGCACGGGAUGCAGGGAUCCCCAGGGAAGAGGAGCAUCCCCCAAGGGAGCAGGACCUGGCCCACCUCCAGAAAGGUCCUUUCUGUGCCAUGGGGGACAGGAGAAACCCCUAAGGCUGUGCAAGCCUCCAUCCCUGUGGCUCCAGCUUUCCACAUGGUGCUGGAUGGAUGGAUGGAUGGAUGAUGGAUGGAUGGAUGGAUGGAUGGAUGGAUGGAUGGAUGGAUGGAUGGAUGGAUGGAUGAUGGACGGAUGGAUGGACGGAUGGAUGAUGGAUGGAUGAUGGAUGGUAGAUGGAUGGAUGGAUGGAUGGAUGGAUGGAUGGAUGGAUGGAUGGAUGGAUGGAUGGAUGGAUGGAUGGAUGAUGGAUGGAUGAUGGAUGGAUGGAUCCAUGAAUGGAUGGACAGAUGGACAUCUUGACAACUUAGCUGGUGACCUGCUCCCCUUUCCUGAGCCCUCCAGGAGCAAAUGUAUCCAGGCACAUUUU
rnacentral:lncRNA from 1 species